UACGUAGGGGGCGAGCGUUGUCCGGAUUUAUUGGGCGUAAAGAGCGUGUAGGCGGCCUGACAGGUCUGCUGUGAAAACUCGAGGCUCAACCUCGAGAUGUCGGCGGAAACCGUCUGGCUAGAGUCCGGAAGAGGAGAGUGGAAUUCCUGGUGUAGCGGUGAAAUGCGCAGAUAUCAGGAAGAACACCUAUGGCGAAGGCAGCUCUCUGGGACGGUACUGACGCUGAGACGCGAAAGCGUGGGGAGCGAAC
rnacentral:rRNA from 1 species